rnacentral:rRNA from 1 species
CUUACCAUGCAGUCGAACGCUGAGCUGGGUGCUUGCACCUGGUGGAUGAGUGGCGAACGGGUGAGUAAUACGUGAGUGACCUUCCUUGGACUCUGGGAUAAGCCCGGGAAACUGGGUCUAAUACCGGAUACGACCAGUCCUCGCAUGGGGUGCUGGUGGAAAGGGUUUGUACUGGUUCUUGAUGGGCUCACGUCCUAUCAGCUUGUUGGUGAGGUAAUGGCUUACCAAGGCGACGACGGGUAGCCGGCCUGAGAGGGUGACCGGCCACACUGGGACUGAGACACGGCCCAGACUCCUACGGGAGGCAGCAGUGGGGAAUAUUGCACAAUGGGCGCAAGCCUGAUGCAGCGACGCCGCGUGGGGGAUGACGGCCUUCGGGUUGUAAACCUCUUUCAGCAGGGAAGAAGCGAAAGUGACGGUACCUGCAGAAGAAGCGCCGGCUAACUACGUGCCAGCAGCCGCGGUAAUACGUAGGGCGCAAGCGUUGUCCGGAAUUAUUGGGCGUAAAGAGCUCGUAGGCGGUUUGUCGCGUCUGCUGUGAAAGCCCGGGGCUCAACCCCGGGUGUGCAGUGGGUACGGGCAGGCUGGAGUGCAGUAGGGGAGACUGGAAUUCCUGGUGUAGCGGUGAAAUGCGCAGAUAUCAGGAGGAACACCGAUGGCGAAGGCAGGUCUCUGGGCUGUUACUGACGCUGAGGAGCGAAAGCAUGGGGAGCGAACAGGAUUAGAUACCCUGGUAGUCCAUGCCGUAAACGUUGGGCACUAGGUGUGGGGGGACAUUCCACGUUUUCCGCGCCGUAGCUAACGCAUUAAGUGCCCCGCCUGGGGAGUACGGCCGC